UCACUCGCCCUCUUAGGACAUUUUCUUGUUCUGACAGUUUCACUCGCCCUUUUAGGACAUUUUUUUCCUGACAAGUUCGUUAAUCUUGAGGCAACGCAUCACAGAGACGGCUUUUUCCAUAACAUCUGGACUUGAAAACUGGUGGGGUUCCCAUUUAUUAACUUCUGUAGAAAAAGGCUUGAAAACGCAAUGUCUCACUUCAUUAAUCUUCUCGCUACGACCUGAUAUCCACACUUCAUCCAUCCUUUCGCUACGA